AGAACAACUUGUCAGGUGGUGCAUUGGAGACUGAUGUGUUCCUGUCCUGUCUUUUCAUAAUACUAUUGCAGGUAUGGUUCUAUUGUCUAAGAAUUAAGACUAUACAUUCUUUGUAUUAAGGACUGGUUAUUAUUUUAUACUAUACAUUAUGGCUUUAUGUAUGAGUGUGAUUGUGAGAGUCUGAGAAAACACUGAGAGAGAAAGAACAACUUGUCAGGUGGUGCAUUGGAGACUGAUGUGUUCCUGUCCUGUCUUUUCAUAAUACUAUUGCAGAUUAACAUAAAAGCCUAAAAGACAGCCGUGGUGUCGCUCUUCAUUUCUUGGUUCUCCUGUGGUGCAUAAGAAACCCGCUACAGAUUAUAUAGUAAUGUACAUUUACAUUAAGUGGAUUGUAAGGAUAUUAAAUUAAUACUGCACAAAAAGUUUUUUUUUUCCGCCAUGUUAUUUGAUCAAGAAAAAUAUUUAAUUUGAUUUGGAUGUUUUGUGUCUUUCCCCAUAACUUUGCACCUUUUGAUGUAAAUGUUUGAGGACAGGGUUUUGUUCUUUCUGGAUUCCAUUAGAAUGACAAUCACAGAGAAAGUUACAGGGUAACAACUCUUAUAUUUCCAACUAUUGAAUCCAGCAAGAUUCUGUUCUUAAUUAUACAACUACCUUUUUUGCCAAAGUAGAGAUGCUGAAAAUAUGUUUUUGACUGAGCCACAUAUGUCUAUAUCAGUACGCUAAUACUAGUAAAGGCCCAGUUCACUACUUCUGUAGUGAUACGCCAUCCCAUCUAGUUUGCGCUUAGUGGGACUAUCAUUUGUUUAUCAACAGGGCAAUGACCCAAAACACACCUCCAGGCUGUGUAAGGGCUAUUUGACCAAGGAGAGUGAUGGAAUGCUGCAUCAGAUGACCUGGCCUCCACAAUAACAAAACCUCAACCCAAUUGAGAUGGUUUGGGAUGAGUUGGUCCGCAGAGUGAAGGAAAAGCAGCCAACAAGUGCUCAGCAUAUGUGGGAACUCCUUCAAGUAUUCCAGGCCGGUGGUGGUUGGUCCCUCCAGGAGUCUGAGGUGUGGGAGGUUCCUCCGCCCCCUCUGGACAUCGAGGGGGCCCCGGCACACUCCGUCCGGUCCAUCCUGGAUUCGAGGCGUCGGGCGGGGGGCCUUCAGUACCUCGUAGAGUGGGAGGGGUACGGUCCGGAGGAGAGGUGCUGGGUUCCGGUGGCGGAUGUGUUUGACCCUGAACUGCUGCAGGAGUUCCACCGUCGCCGGCCGGACCGCCCUGCGCCUCGCCCUCCGGGUCGUCCCCGAGGCCGGUGUCGGCACGCCGCUAGAGCCGCGCGUCGGGGGGGGUACUGUCAUGACUUCCCUGUCGGCUCCUCUCCUUGUUCGGGCGGCAUUCGGCGGUCAACGCCACCGGCUUUCUAGCCAUCGCCGCUCCAUUUUUCAUUUAUUUUGUCUUGUUCCCUGCACACCUGGUUUUCAUUCCCCAAUCAGACUACAUGUAUUUAUUCCUCACAAAUGUCUUUGUGUGAAAUUGUUUUGUGUUACGUGUCAAUUUUUACACACUAGACGGGUGUUCGUUUGUCCGUGUUUUAUCACGAGGUAUGUUUAUUUGUUUGAACAUAAUUAUUGUGACUGCGCAUUUUGCACUUUUGCCAUUUGGCUGUUGGUUUCUCCUGCCUUAAUAAAGUGUGCGCCUGUUCACAACUCUCUGCUCUCCUGCACCUGACUCCGCUCCCAGUACACACACCAUUGACACUAUGCUUGAAAAUAAUGUAGUGAUACUCA
rnacentral:lncRNA from 1 species